GAGGGACCGGAACACAGUAUGUCGUAUUGAGAGGAGAGGGACCGGAACACAGUGUUUCGUAUGGUGAGGAGAGGGACCGGAACACAGUGUGUCGUACGGUGAGGAGAGGGACCGGAACACAGUGUGUCGUAUGGUGAGGAGAGGGACCGGAACACAGUGUGUCGUAUGGUGAAGAGAGAGACCGGAACACAGUGUGUCGUAUGGAGAGGGACCGGAACACAGUGUGUGGUAUGGUGAGGAGAGGGACUGGAACACAGUGUAUCGUAUGGUGAGGAGAGAGACCAGAACACAGUGUGUCGU
ensembl:lncRNA